rnacentral:lncRNA from 1 species
CAAAAAAACAGAAGUACCAGGAACCCAAGACAAGUUGUAAGGCAAGAGAGAACUAUUUGGUAGUCCUGGAGUAAUCAUUAGUAAGUUUGUCAGUCUCCGUAGGCCUCUGCGGCACCACAUUUCCUUGGGAGAGAUGCUUUGCGUGUGUGAAAUUAAUUAGCACAUGCUAACGACCAAUUUGCAUGCACCACAGCCCACAGCCAUGCUGCACAAUGUAGCAACAUCAUAAUAAAAAUUCAGAAACAGCAGCGCUUAAAAAUAACUACUUGGCCAAUUUAAUCUUUUUAAAACACCCAUUGAACAUCUCUAAGUGCACAGAAACAAAAAAUACAACUCAGAAA